rnacentral:rRNA from 1 species
GGUAGUCCACGCCGUAAACGAUGUCGACUUGGAGGUUGUGCCCUUGAGGCGUGGCUUCCGGAGCUAACGCGUUAAGUCGACCGCCUGGGGAGUACGGCCGCAAGGUUAAAACUCAAAUGAAUUGACGGGGGCCCGCACAAGCGGUGGAGCAUGUGGUUUAAUUCGAUGCAACGCGAAGAACCUUACCUGGUCUUGACAUCCACAGAACUUGGCAGAGAUGCCUUGGUGCCUUCGGGAACUGUGAGACAGGUGCUGCAUGGCUGUCGUCAGCUCGUGUUGUGAAAUGUUGGGUUAAGUCCCGCAACGAGCGCAACCCUUAUCCUUUGUUGCCAGCGAUUCGGUCGGGAACUCAAAGGAGACUGCCGGUGAUAAACCGGAGGAAGGUGGGGAUGACGUCAAGUCAUCAUGGCCCUUACGAGUAGGGCUACACACGUGCUACAAUGGCGUAUACAAAGAGAAGCGACCUCGCGAGAGCAAGCGGAACUCAUAAAGUACGUCGUAGUCCGGAUUGGAGUCUGCAACUCGACUCCAUGAAGUCGGAAUCGCUAGUAAUCGUAGAUCAGAGUGCUACGGUGAAUACGUUCCCGGGCCUUGUACACACCGCCCGUCACACCAUGGGAGUGGGUUGCAAAAGAAGUAGGUAGCUUAACCUUCGGGAGGGCGCUUACCACUUUGUGAUUCAUGACUGGGGUGAAGUCGUAACAAGGUAACC